rnacentral:snRNA from 15 species
AUCCGAGUGCAAGGGCAUUACGCGUAUCAGUGAGGAUUCGUCCGAGAUCGUGUUUUUGCUAGUUGAAAACUAUAACUAUGACCACUCCUGGUUGGUUUCGACUGGCCAGGGAAUUUUUGAACACCCAAGAUCUCUGAAGAU